rnacentral:rRNA from 1 species
UACGAAGGGAGCUAGCGUUGCUCGGAAUCACUGGGCGUAAAGCGCACGUAGGCGGCUUUCUAAGUCAGGGGUGAAAUCCUGGAGCUCAACUCCAGAACUGCCUUUGAUACUGGAGAGCUUGAGUCCGGAAGAGGUGAGUGGAACUCCGAGUGUAGAGGUGAAAUUCGUAGAUAUUCGGAAGAACACCAGUGGCGAAGGCGGCUCACUGGUCCGGUACUGACGCUGAUGUGCGAAAGCGUGGGGAGCAAACAGG